AGAGUUUGAUCCUGGCUCAGGACGAACGCUGGCGGCGUGCUUAACACAUGCAAGUCGAACGGAAAGGCCCUUCGGGGUACUCGAGUGGCGAACGGGUGAGUAACACGUGGGUGAUCUGCCCUGCACUUUGGGAUAAGCCUGGGAAACUGGGUCUAAUACCGAAUAUGACCAUGCACUUCCUGGUGUGUGGUGGAAAGCUUUUGCGGUGUGGGAUGGGCCCGCGGCCUAUCAGCUUGUUGGGGGGGUAAUGGCCUACCAAGGCGACGACGGGUAGCCGGCCUGAGAGGGUGACCGGCCACACUGGGACUGAGAUACGGCCCAGACUCCUACGGGAGGCAGCAGUGGGGAAUAUUGCACAAUGGGCGCAAGCCUGAUGCAGCGACGCCGCGUGAGGGAUGACGGCCUUCGGGUUGUAAACCUCUUUCAGCACAGACGAAGCGCAAGUGACGGUAUGUGCAGAAGAAGGACCGGCCAACUACGUGCCAGCAGCCGCGGUAAUACGUAGGGUCCGAGCGUUGUCCGGAAUUACUGGGCGUAAAGAGCUCGUAGGUGGUUUGUCGCGUUGUUCGUGAAAACUCACAGCUUAACUGUGGGCGUGCGGGCGAUACGGGCAGACUUGAGUACUGCAGGGGAGACUGGAAUUCCUGGUGUAGCGGUGGAAUGCGCAGAUAUCAGGAGGAACACCGGUGGCGAAGGCGGGUCUCUGGGCAGUAACUGACGCUGAGGAGCGAAAGCGUGGGGAGCGAACAGGAUUAGAUACCCUGGUAGUCC
rnacentral:rRNA from 1 species